rnacentral:rRNA from 1 species
UACGGGGGGGGGCAAGCGUUGUUCGGAAUUACUGGGCGUAAAGGGCGCGUAGGCGGCCUGCUAAGUCGGACGUGAAAUCCCUCGGCUCAACCGGGGAACUGCGUCCGAUACUGGCGAGGCUUGAAUCCGGGAGAGGGAUGUGGAAUUCCAGGUGGUAGCGGUGAAAUGCGUAGAUAUCUGGAGGAACACCGAUGGGCGAAGGCAGCCCCCUGGGCUAACACUGACGCUCAUGCACGAAAGCGUGGGGAGCGAACAGG